rnacentral:rRNA from 1 species
GUCCAUGCCGUAAACGUUGGGCACUAGGUGUGGGGACAUUCCACGUUUCCGCGCCGUAGCUAACGCAUUAAGUGCCCCGCCUGGGGAGUACGGCCGCAAGGCUAAAACUCAAAGGAAUUGACGGGGCCCGCACAAGCGGCGGAGCAUGCGGAUUAAUUCGAUGCAACGCGAAGAACCUUACCAAGGCUUGACAUGAACCGGAAACGCCUGGAAACAGGUGCCCCGCUUGCGGUCGGUUUACAGGUGGUGCAUGGUUGUCGU